UACGUAGGGGCCAAGCGUUGUCCGGAUUUAUUGGGCGUAAAGAGCUCGUAGGCGGUUGGGUAAGUCGGGUGUGAAAACUCCAGGCUCAACUUGGAGAGGCCACCCGAUACUGCUCUGACUUGAGUUCGGUAGGGGAGUGGGGAAUUCCUGGUGUAGCGGUGAAAUGCGCAGAUAUCAGGAGGAACACCAGUGGCGAAGGCGGUCUCCUGGGGCAUUCUUGACGCUGAGGCGCGAAAGCUGGGGGAGCAAACGGG
rnacentral:rRNA from 1 species